CAGAACGAACGCUGGCGGCGUACUAACACAUGCAAGUCGGACGAGAAAGGGGGCUUCGGCUCCUGAGUACAGUGGCGGACGGGUGCGUAACACGUAAGUGAUCUACCCCAGACACUGGGAUAACGGCGCGAAAGCGCCGCUAAGACUGGAUAGGGUCGCCCGGGCGAAGCCGGGCGGGGAAAGGGGGGUGCGGAAGCAGCUCUCGGUCUGGGAUGAGCUUGCGGCCCAUUAGCUAGUUGGGGGGGUAAGGGCCUCCCAAGGCGACGAUGGGUAGCUGGUCUGAGAGGAUGACCAGCCACACUGGCACUGAGACACGGGCCAGACUCCUACGGGAGGCAGCAGUGGGGAAUUUUGCGCAAUGGGCGAAAGCCUGACGCAGUAACGCCGCGUGGAGGAUGAAGGCCUUCGGGUCGUAAACUCCUGUCAGGGGGGACGAAGCGCCUGCGGGUGCGGACGGUACCCCCAAAGGAAGCCCCGGCUAAUUCCGUGCCAGCAGCCGCGGUAAUACGGAAGGGGCAAGCGUUGUUCGGAAUCAUUGGGCGUAAAGGGCGCGUAGGCGGUCGGGUAUGUCUGCUGUAAAAGCCCACGGCUCAACCGUGGAGGGUCGGCAGAAACUGCCGGACUUGAGGCUGGGAGAGGCUGGUGGAAUUCCCUGUGUAGCGGUGAAAUGCGUAGAUAUAGGGGAGAACACUCGUGGCGAAGGCGGCCAGCUGGACCAGUCCUGACGCUGAGGCGCGACAGCGUGGGGAGCAAACAGGAUUAGAUACCCUGGUAGUCCACGCCGUAAACGAUGGGCACU
rnacentral:rRNA from 1 species